CCUGCUCACGCUCUGACGGACAUUCGUUCCCAGGCAGAGCGCGGGUGGAGACUGGGUUGGGCUACCACACCACGUAGGGGUGAAAGCUCCACCUCAGAGCGUCGUGUUAACCGUUUGGAAUGUUCCAUCGGCUGGCGUUCCCCGCCCGCCCGGGUGUGGUAUCGCCCUGAGGCGAAAGCGGCACUUGUGGAUCACCGUGGGCGUUUCACAGACAUUAACACAGGCUGGUCUGGAAAGAUGUAUGACACACGCAUCUUUUGGAACACUGGACCAUUCAGGAAGCUGCAAGCAGGGACUUUCUUUCCAGACUAGAAGAUUAUCGUAGGGGAAGUUGAAAUGCCCCUUGUGAUCCUGGGAGACCCUGCCUACCCCGUAAUGCCGUGACUUCUGAAGCCAUACAUGGGGCAACUUGACAGCAGCAAGGAAUGCUUCAACAAUAGGCUGAGCAAGUGCAGAAUGACUGUUGAGUGUGUUUUUGGCUGUUUAAAAGCCUGCUGGUGCUGUCUCUACAGGAAGCUGGACCGGGCUGAUGACAAUAUUCCUAUGCUUAUAGCGACAUGAUAUACACUCCUUAAUAUUUGUGAAGGGAAGGGUGAAAGCUUCACUCAGGGCUGAACCACAGAAGCUCAGCGCCUGGAGGCUGAGUUCGAACAGUCAGAGACCAGGGCUAUCAGCGGGGCACAGCGUGGGGCCAUAAGGAUCAGGGAUGCCUUGAGGCAGCAAUUUGAAACUGAAAGCCACUAAUAUUUGUAGAUAUGCUUGGGAGUGCAGUACUUGUAAUGCUAGGAGGUGAUUGGUGCAGAUGAUGCAAUAUGUGGAUUUAACAUAAUUGUAUGUUGCUUUGCAGUGCUCUUUUUGCUUUCAAUUAAUAGAAUAAAGAUUGCUUUCAAACACAGUUCUUUUAUUAAAAGACAACAGCCAAAGGAGAGAGUCAAAAAAACCCAACACAUCAGCUGUGAGGGGGUGGGGGAAGGGAAGGUCCCAGGAGGAGGAGGGGUCCCAGGAUGUCUAAAGAUUUGUGUAUGUCCAGGGAUCAUAUCCAGCCUUCUCCUUUGGAGUACAAUGCAGCAGGUGUGGUAUUUCAGCAAGGCCAAACUGCAGAGGGAUGGGUGUUGAAUGUAGUGGGAGUCUGCAGUGCUGGACUGUGAGAGUGGAGGAGUGAAAUGCCAUGGAUAUAGACUGGAGCCAGGAGGUUGAUAAGAGUGUGUUGGGGUGCAUGGGAAAGAGUUUUGCGACAGCGGCUGCAGGAAAGGAUGGGCUUGGAGCUGCUCGGUUUGAAGAGCUAGUAUCGCUUGGGGCGUAUCUGCUUGUCACUCCAUAACCUUUAAGAGCCACUCUGUGGAUUCAUUCUGGCGUACCUCAUUCUCCUUUCCCUCCCUCUUCUUGCUGUCCUGCCACUCCUUCAAUUUCUGUUUCUCGGUGGCGGAGUGCAUCAUAACAUCACGCAAGAAGUCCUCUUUAGUUCUUGGCCGCUUUCUAAGUCUGCGCAGCCAUUCAGGUGCUGACAACAAAGAGGGAGGCUGGGCUCCCAGGGUCAUCUCUGCGAAGUUUAAAUGCAACAUUUUGCAGAAGCAGGAUUGUUUGCAGCACAGUGAACACUGAUUCAGUGAUUUAAAACACAGCCAGUACUCGCACACCUGACACUAACUGGCUGACCGCAGGCAAGCACACAUGAGCUGCAAGACCCCCAAAAUGGAUGUGAUCAUUAUGGAAGCUAUCUUGCUGCUGAGGGUGAGCAGGGAAUCAAGGGAGGGUCUUCUCCAAGCCUGCGUCUUCCGUCCUGGCCCCUAUGCGGCUCACCGGUGUGCAGCAAUGGUCAUCCCUCCAGCAUGACAGCACAGUGGCGUAGGAAAGUUACCAUUAAUGGGGCAAGAAACAAAGCAGCUCUACUGAAGAACCUGCAGCAGUGGAUUGCCCAGUGUUUCCACAAGAGUUUCCUGGAGAGGGAGUCAAUCAACAGCCUGUUCUGCCGCUCAGACUAGGCAUGUGGUGCGAGACAAAUCUGCAACCCUCCUGCCCCCAGCAACUCACUUCAGCAGUUCCCGGAAUCAAAGCUACUUACCAGUGCCUCCUCUCCUGUUUGUGCUUCGCCAAGAUCUGACAGUUGUGACUGGCAAACCUCCAAGGUAGAAAAGAGCUCCUGGCUGCAUGGAUCUCUGACCUCUGAGUCAUCCUCUGCCUCUGGGUUGCCCUCCCACUCCACAUCAUCGUCCAAGAUUUCCUCCUCCUGGCUCAGUCCACUUUCGACUAGCACGCGAGCCACCAAAGUAUUCACAGUGGUCUUCGCAGUGGAGGUGGGGUUGCCACCAAGUAUCGAGUCCAGCUCUUCGUAAAACCGGCAGCUCUAGGGUACAGCACUGGAGUGGUGGUUUGCCUCCCGUGCCUUGUGGUAGGCAUUCUGCAAUUCCUUCACUUUGACCCUGCAGUGCGUCCUGGUCAUGGUGCCUUUCUGUCAUGCAUUGUGAAAUCUAUGCAUAGGUGUCAUAAUUCCAACAGCUGGAGCAUUUGUGCUAUUUUGGUGCUCUUGCUUCAAGAUUAAAUCAAGAAGUACAAAAGAAACCACAGAAAACAAAAUAUUUAGCUGAACUUUUCUGAAAUUGUUAAAAAUUCAGUUUGAACUUUUUACAAAGGUUUAAGUAUAGGGUAGACUGAUUUAAAUGAAAGUGAUUUACAUAAUCAAUUUUAAUCAUGAUUUAAAAAAGCAAGCAAGAAACCUUGAUUUAAAUAAUCAAUUUUAAUCAUGUUUUGCAUUUGGAGUUUUUAAUUCUUUUUCUAAAAAAGGUUUGAUUUUGGAAUUUAGUAACAAUUACAAUAUCUGGAUUUGCAAUUCUGCGCUGUCUCGUACUUCUUUUUGAUAACCAGGAGGAUACAGUAAAUCAAAAACAGUUAUUUGAGAAAUUAUAUACAGUAGAACCUCAGAGUUACGAAUACUUUGGGAAUGGAGGUUGUUCGCAACUCUGAACAAAACAUUAUGGUUGUUCUUUCAAAAGUGGGCAGCUGAACAUUGACUUAAUGUAGCUUUGAAACCUUACUAUGCAGAAGAAAAAUGCUGCUUUCCCUUUAUUUUUUUAGUAGUUUACAUUUAACAUGGUACUGUACCGUAUUUGCCUUUUUUUUUUUUUGUCUCUGCAUGAUUGCGUACUUCCAGUUCCAAAUGAGGUGUGUGGUUCACUGGUCAGUUCAUAAAUCUGGUGUUAGUAACUCUGAGGUUCUGCUGUAGCGUAAGUUAUGUUUCCUAAUUCUUAUAUUUUUACAUUUUUUAUUAUGUUAGAAAACUAUGAAUAACAUAUUUCUAGAUGAUGACUUUUUUUUUAACUUGUGAACUCUACUUCGAUGCAAUUAGAAUUCAAUGCAAAAUGUACAAAACAGCAUGCUAUUUUUUUUAUUAAA